rnacentral:tRNA from 1 species
GAGAUAUUAGUAAAAUCAUUACAUAACUUUGUCAAAGUUAAAUUAUAGAGUUAAAUCUGUAUAUCUUA